rnacentral:rRNA from 1 species
CCUACGGGUGGCAGCAGUGGGGAAUAUUGGACAAUGGGCGAAAGCCUGAUCCAGCCAUGCCGCGUGUGUGAAGAAGGCCUUCGGGUUGUAAAGCACUUUCAGUGGGGAAGAAAGCCUUGGGGCUAAUACCCUCGAGGAAGGACAUCACCCACAGAAGAAGCACCGGCUAACUCCGUGCCAGCAGCCGCGGUAAUACGGAGGGUGCGAGCGUUAAUCGGAAUUACUGGGCGUAAAGCGCGCGUAGGCGGUCUGAUAAGCCGGUUGUGAAAGCCCCGGGCUCAACCUGGGAACGGCAUCCGGAACUGUCAGGCUAGAGUGCAGGAGAGGAAGGUAGAAUUCCCGGUGUAGCGGUGAAAUGCGUAGAGAUCGGGAGGAAUACCAGUGGCGAAGGCGGCCUUCUGGACUGACACUGACGCUGAGGUGCGAAAGCGUGGGUAGCAAACUGGAUUAGAUACCCCAGUAGUC